GAUAUGACAGGGUGUCCGCGGGGUUUUAAAAAGUAUUAAAAGGUGAUAAAUCAAAAUUGCCAAAUGUAAUGCCAUUAAAAGUGUUAAAUGUAGUUUUAGAGGUAUUAUUUUUUUUUAAAUAGGUAUUAUUUUUUCAAGUGUCCUAUUCUGAUUGAAAUUCUAUCUUCUAAAGUUUGCGUUAGUUCGUUUAAAUGCGGGCUUUAGCAAAGCUGGGCACAUAAUCAAAGAUCUUCCGUAUCAAUCCUGAAGUCUCAACUUUGUAUGUUUGAUGCGGACAUCAUAUUCAGUGGUCGUUCGACAUCUCAAACACUGUGCGCUUCAACUGGGUAACCAACUGGCUGGCUUACGUUUUUGACUUGCUUAGGUAUAUCUUCAACGUCCAGACAACCAUCGUCGUCGCCAUGGGCAAAUGCAAGUUUUCUGACAGCUGGGUGUAGUAGGGAAUAACCGGCAGGCUUAUUGUUCGGUUUGUAAAAAAAACAUCAAUGUCAACUGGAUGGGAGCUAAUGCACUUCGGUCGCAUAUGCAAUCCACUAAACAUAAAAAUGGAAUGCGCGGUCGGCGAAAGCAGUUCAUUCUACCACUCUGCCAACUGUCUGUGCUGCUGCACCAAACACCGAAAGCUAGUGCCACGGUACAAGCCAACGCUACGGCUCCAGCAACUACGUCUGACCUCCGGGUGACUAUGGGCGCCACACCAACACUGUGUGCGGAGGCUCUGUGGUGUUUAAACACUGCAGUUAAACACCACUUAUUGAACUCCAACGAAGGAAUUUCGGAGCUGUUUAAAGAAAUGUUUACCGACUCUGACAUCGCAAAGCCAUUCACGUGUGGUAAAGAUAAAACCGGCUACAUCAUCAGAUUUGGAUUAGCAUCGUUCUUCAAAAAACAGCUUGUUGAUGGCAUCAACAAGGCAGGGCCAUUCGUGUUGAUGUUUGCUCAUGAGUUCAUAUUAGGCCUAUAGCACACCAGUUCACGUAGUGGAUGCCAGUUUGUGAAGUGAUAUCAGCAACAAUUCAUAUAGCAGAUGCCAGUUUAUAAUGCAUCAACAGUUCAUGUAGUGAAUGCCAGCCAGUGUGCUGGAACUAUCUCUCCAUUGCACAUUUAAUGUAGUUUGUUUUAUUUUUAUUCACAAAAUGAAAUAAAUGUGUGCAAUAUGUGGU